GUCACGCCCCAGACCCGGAUCCGUGACACGGCCGUGCUAUUGCCGACUAUCGCCCACAGUAGCACGCAGCCUCAUACAGGGGUAACAGGUAGCCAAAAGGAUUCAAACUUAUAUAUAUGUAUUAAAAGUUUUGCAGUACAACCUUCAAGUUUGAAACCAAAAAUAUAGAACUUCUAUGCUAUUCAAAUGUACAAAAGUAUAUAAGCUUCUCCAAAAAUACGAAGCUCUGUAACAAAAUAAAAACAUAUCUGAUGGCGAUCACUGAUGAGGAUCUGAAAGAAAACGAAGCAUAAACAGAUGUGAGCUACAAGGCUCAGUAAGUAAUCCUGCAUAAUCCUACCGGAUCAACCAGUAGGCUAAACAUGUAAAUCAGGGUUUGAGAAGCUGACAUGCAUGUUUAUCUAAUAAUCAUCAUGGCAUAAUAUGUAUGCAAUUUAAACAAGGCAGUAGUGCAAAUCACAAAAUUUUCAUAUUAUAUGCAUAUGAAACCGUGCCCCCGGCAUGCCGUGGUCCUUUUUCUCUCGGAUGCUACUGCGAAGUCAGACUCGACCACUGGCGGGGCCAGCUCAGUUACUAUUCAGCCACUGGCGGGGCAGGCUCAGUUACUAUUCAGCCACUGGC
rnacentral:lncRNA from 1 species